ACCUGUGAAGGCUUCAGAAAGUAGACAAACCCACUUUUAUGCUCAAAAAGCAUGAAUAGAUCUGCUGAUUUGACAUCAGGUUUCCUAUUUCUGCAUGUGGGGUGAGCCAAAACAGCUGCUUUUUGUUGUGGUAAAAGUGGUAUCAAUACUGACAGUGAUGCCCAUACAGAUUUUUGAGACCUUAGGCUCAAAACUAAGGCAUGGAAUUCCAAAGGAAGUCGCUGCCGUAAGCACCACCUGAGAAAAAGUAUCACAAUAGACUGUUUCUUCAGUCUAAGACUUGCUUAGUUGA
rfam:Streptococcus pyogenes M1 GAS, complete genome.